GAUGAACGCUGGCGGCAUGCCUAACACAUGCAAGUCGAACGAAAAGACGAUGAGCUUGUUCCUUUGACGUUAGCGGCGGACGGGUGGGUAACACAUGGAUCACCUACCUAUAAGACUUGGAUGACUACGGGAAAACGGUUCUACUACUGGAUCAUAUAUUCAACCGCAUGGUUCAAUAGUUCAUCACGGUUUUGGUGUUUCUAUGAGCUGAUUUCGCGCCGCAUUAGCUAGUUGGUAAGGUAACGGCUUACCAAGGCGACGAUGCGUAGCCGACCUGAGAGGGUGAUCGGCCACACUGGAACUGAGACACGGUCCAGACUCCUACGGGAGGCAGCAGUAGGGAAUAUUGCGCAAUGGGCGAAAGCCUGACGGAGCAACGCCGCGUGAGUGAAGAAGGUCUUCGGGUCGUAAAACUCUUUUAUUGGGAAAGAACAGCUGUGUGAGAAGCUAUGGACGUCUUGACGGUACCUAAACAGAAAGCCACGGCUAACUACGUG
rnacentral:rRNA from 1 species